rnacentral:ncRNA from 1 species
CUGUCCUCAGUCCCGGGUUCUCUCCGCGCGGUUCCGAGCGGUCGCUCCCUCGCGAGGUGCCGCGGGUCAGCGGUUGACGCCAGCCACCUUCCCGACCCGUCUUGAAACACGGACCAAGGAGUCUAACAUGUGCGCGAGCCGCGGGGCAGUACGAAACCCGUAAGGCGAAAUGAAGGUGAACGCCGGCGCGGUCCGGCGGAGGUUGGAUCCCGUCCCGUCGGGGCGGGCGCACUACCGGCCGAUCUUCUCCGCCCUGUCGGCGAGGUCGAGCGAGAGCGUGCAAGUCGGGACCCGAAAGAUGGUGAACUAUGCCUGAGGAGGUUGAAGCCAGAGGAAACUCUGGUGGAGGACCGUAGCGAUUCUGACGUGCAAAUCGAUCGUCAAAUUUGGGUAUAGGGGCGAAAGACUAAUCGAACCGUCUAGUAGCUGGUUCCCUUCGAAGUUUCCCUCAGGAUAGCUGGCGCUCUGUCGCAGUUUUAUCUGGUAAAGCGAAUGAUUAGAGGUCUUGGGGGCGAAACGCCCUCAACCUAUUCUCAAACUUUAAAUUGGUAAGCUAGCCCGACUCGCUCGUUUGGAGCCGGGCAUGGAAUGCGAGUGCCAAGUGGGCCACUCUUGGUAAGCAGGACUGGCGAUGCGGGAUGAACCGAACGCCGGGUUAAGGCGCCCGACGCGACGCUCAUCAGAGCCC